AGAUUGAACGCUGGCGGCAGGCCUAACGCAUGCAAGUCGAGCGGCAGCACGGGUACUUGUACCUGGUGGCGAGCGGCGGACGGGUGAGUAAUGCCUAGGAAUCUGCCUAGUGGUGGGGGAUAACGUUCGGAAACGGACGCUAAUACCGCAUACGUCCUACGGGAGAAAGCGGGGGACCUUCGGGCCUCGCGCCAUUAGAUGAGCCUAGGUCGGAUUAGCUAGUUGGUGAGGUAAUGGCUCACCAAGGCGACGAUCCGUAACUGGUCUGAGAGGAUGAUCAGUCACACUGGAACUGAGACACGGUCCAGACUCCUACGGAGCAGCAGUGGGAAUAGUUGGAACAAGUGGGGACGAAAAGCCGUGGACU
rnacentral:rRNA from 1 species